GGACUACCGGGGUAUCUAAUCCUGUUCGCUCCCCACGCUUUCGCUCCUCAGCGUCAGUAUCGGCCCAGAGACCCGCCUUCGCCACCGGUGUUCCUCCUGAUAUCUGCGCAUUUCACCGCUACACCAGGAAUUCCAGUCUCCCCUGCCGAACUCAAGUGAUGCCCGUAUCGACCGCACGCGCACAGUUAAGCUGUACGUUUUCACGAUCGACGCGACACACCGCCUACGAGCUCUUUACGCCCAAUAAUUCCGGACAACGCUCGCACCCUACGUAUUACCGCGGCUGCUGGCAC
rnacentral:rRNA from 1 species